AUUGAACGCUGGCGGCAUGCCUUACACAUGCAAGUCGAACGGCAGCGCGGGAGCAAUCCUGGCGGCGAGUGGCGAACGGGUGAGUAAUACAUCGGAACGUGCCCAGUAGUGGGGGAUAGCCCGGCGAAAGCCGGAUUAAUACCGCAUACGACCUGAGGGUGAAAGCGGGAGAUCGCAAGACCUCGCGCUAUUGGAGCGGCCGAUGUCAGAUUAGCUAGUUGGUGGGGUAAAGGCCUACCAAGGCAACGAUCUGUAGUUGGUCUAAGAGGACGACCAGCCACACUGGGACUGAGACACGGCCCAGACUCCUACGGGAGGCAGCAGUGGGGAAUUUUGGACAAUGGGGGCAAGCCUGAUCCAGCAAUGCCGCGUGCAGGAGGAAGGCCUUCGGGUUGUAAACUGCUUUUGUCAGGGAAGAAAUCCUCUGGGUUAAUACCUCGGGGGGAUGACGGUACCUGAAGAAUAAGCACCGGCUAACUACGUGCCAGCAGCCGCCGUAA
rnacentral:rRNA from 1 species